CGGCGGACGGGUGAGUAAUGCCUAGGAAUCUGCCUGGUAGUGGGGGACAACGUUUCGAAAGGAACGCUAAUACCGCAUACGUCCUACGGGAGAAAGCAGGGGACCUUCGGGCCUUGCGCUAUCAGAUGAGCCUAGGUUGGAUUAGCUAGUUGGUGAGGUAAUGGCUCACCAAGGCGACGAUCCGUAACUGGUCUGAGAGGAUGAUCAGUCACACUGGAACUGAGACACGGUCCAGACUCCUACGGGAGGCAGCAGGU
rnacentral:rRNA from 1 species